UACGGUCAACUCACGCUGAAACACCGGUUCUCGUACGAUCACCGAAGUUAAGCAUCAUGGAUAGAGCCAGGUCAGUAUUAGAUGGGGACCGCUUGGGAACACCUGGA
rnacentral:rRNA from 1 species